AAAAUCACACCCUAACCCUUGAAGACCCUUAGAAAAUAUAAAUACUCAGCAAAAAGAACAGGAAAAGGGGUUGGACGGCUGAAGAAAGGAGGCAAGGGUAUACACUAAUUGAGAGAAGAUCGAACCGAUUUUGGAGAAGAAGAAGAAGAAAAACUGAGAAUCAAGCCACAAGAUGGAGAAAUAGAGCAACAACCUGAGUUUUUUCUUAUCUUUCUCUUCUUCAUGAAAUUUAAUUUGUGUUUUAUCAUGUUCUUCUUUUCAAUCAUGAACUAAGUUAUUAAAUCUAGGGUUUGAUGUAACCUAUUUGAGAUAUGAUUCGAUUUCUUUAUAGUAUUUCUAUUUAAUUUUCCUGAAUUGAAUUUUUAUUGUUCUUGCUUAAUGCUUUCUUUUGCCUGAUCACCAAUUGAAUGAAUUGAUGUUCUAAAUUUGACGCUCGAGAGAGGGAAAUUUAGGCGUGAUCUAAGAACAAUAUAACCUAGGUUUGUAGAUUUCGAG
rnacentral:lncRNA from 1 species